AGGCCCAUAGCUUAAUGGUAAAGCGGGUGUCUUAUACACACCUGAUGCGGGUUCGAUUCCCCCUGGGCCUA
rfam:Candidatus Levybacteria bacterium RIFCSPHIGHO2_02_FTLL_37_10 rifcsphigho2_02_scaffold_17585, whole genome shotgun sequence.